GGGCCCGUAGCUCAGUUGGGAGAGCGAAGCGCUGGCAGCGCUUAGGUCGCAGGUUCGAUCCCUGUCGGGUCCACCA
rnacentral:tRNA from 1 species